rnacentral:misc_RNA from 1 species
UGUGGGAGCGAGCUUGCUCGCGAUGACGGCGGUACAUUCAGUAUUUUGCUGUCUGACACACCGCUAUCGCGAGCAAGCUCGCUCCCACA